AUCUCUACUAAGUUACAAAAAUUAGCUCGAUGUAGUGGCAGGCUGAGGCAUGAAAAUAGCUUGAACCCCCCGGGAGGCAGAGGUUGCAGUGAGCAGAGAUUGCGCCACUGCCCUUCAGCCUGGGCAACAGAGUGAGACUGUCUCAAAAAUACGUUCUGUCAUCUCUAGGUUAUCUUUGAUUUUGGGGGUUUACAUAGUACCAGUUUUGUCCUUGGAAUGAUUCAAUGCAUUUGGUUUAUAUUUUUUUCAGAUUUCAUUAGAGGGGUGGUAGACUCAGAGGAUCUCCCUCUAAACAUUUCCCGUGAGAUGUUGCAACAAAGCAAAAUUUUGAAAGUUAUCAGGAAGAAUUUGGUCAAAAAAUGCUUAGAACUUUUUACUGAACUGGCGGAAGAUAAAGAGAACUACAAGAAAUUCUAUGAGCAGUUCUCUAAAAACAUAAAGCUUGGAAUACACGAAGACUCUCAAAAUCGGAAGAAGCUUUCAGAGCUGUUAAGGUACUACACGUCUGCCUCUGGUGAUGAGAUGGUUUCUCUCAAGGACUACUGCACCAGAAUGAAGGAAAACCAGAAACAUAUCUAUUAUAUCACAGGUUAGGAGGACACUAUGUUAAAGUCAUACACGUCAUUCUUACAACCUUGUAGGUUCUGUGGGUGUGUUUUCUACUCGGGUAGCACUGUUACAAUUGGUAUUGAUC
rnacentral:sRNA from 1 species